GAUGAAGAACGUAGUGAAAUGCGAUACGUAAUGUGAAUUGCAGAAUUCAGUGAAUCAUCGAAUCUUUGAACGCACAUUGCGCCCCUUGGUAUUCCAUGGGGCAUGCCUGUUCGAGCGUCAUUUGUACCCUCAAGCUUUGCUUGGUGUUGGGUGUUUGUCCCGCGUUGCGCGUGGACUCGCCUUAAAGCGAUUGGCAGCCGGCAUAUUGGCCUUGGAGCGCAGCACAUUUUGCGCUUCUAGUCAUGAAUGUUGGCGUCCAUUAAGCCUAUACAUUUGCUCUUGACCUCGGAUCAGGUAGGGAUACCCGCUGAACUUAAGCAUAUCAAUAAGCGGAGGA
rnacentral:misc_RNA from 1 species